rnacentral:rRNA from 1 species
ACACGCAUGACACACUGCAUAUCAAUAAGCGGAGGAAAAGAAACUAACAAGGAUUCCCCUAGUAACGGCGAGUGAAGCGGGAAGAGCUCAAAUUUGAAAUCUUAAAGGGUUUCCCUUUACGAAUUGUAGUUUAAAGAAGUGUUUUCUGUUGGAGUUUCGGUAAAAGUUCUUUGGAAUAGGACAUCAUAGAGGGUGAGAAUCCCGUAUUUGACCGUUACUUUCCAGCUGUGUGAUACACUUUCAAAGAGUCGGAUUGUUUGGGAAUGCAGUCCAAAAUGGGUGGUAAAUUUCAUCUAAAGCUAAAUAUUGGCGAGAGACCGAUAGCGAACAAGUACCGUGAGGGAAAGAUGAAAAGAACUUUGAAAAGAGAGUUAAACAGUACGUGAAAUUGUCAAAAGGGAAGCGUUUGACACCAGUGUUGUUUUUCCGAAAAUCAAUUACGAAUGUUUUAGUUUUUGAGAAGUUAUGACUUCAUCGGCUUGCUUCUCUCUUUACUGAAACUUUCUUAAUGCACUUUCGGUUAACAAGUCAACAUCAAUUUCUUUUGUUGUAAAAGGGUAUGAGGAAGGUGGCUUUCUUUUCGGAGAAAGUGUUUAUAGCCUUGUGCCUCUGCAAUCGGAGAGAUUGAGGUCUGCAGCGUAGAUCCUUCGGGGUUAGAUACAUUUGUGCUAAGUUAUAGCUUUUCAUAGACAACUUGUUGACUAUGUUUAGUCUUGUAGCUUACUCGCCUAUGCUAUUUUACCUACGCUUAGGAUGUUGAGCGCAUGUCUCUCUCU